AGAGUUUGAUCCUGGCUCAGAUUGAACGCUGGCGGCAUGCUUUACACAUGCAAGUCGAACGGCAGCGCGGGGCAACCUGGCGGCGAGUGGCGAACGGGUGAGUAAUAUAUCGGAACGUACCCAAGAGUGGGGGAUAACGUAGCGAAAGUUACGCUAAUACCGCAUACGAUCUAUGGAUGAAAGUGGGGGAUCGCAAGACCUCAUGCUCCUGGAGCGGCCGAUAUCUGAUUAGCUAGUUGGUGAGGUAAAGGCUCACCAAGGCUACGAUCAGUAGCUGGUCUGAGAGGACGACCAGCCACACUGGAACUGAGACACGGUCCAGACUCCUACGGGAGGCAGCAGUGGGGAAUUUUGGACAAUGGGCGCAAGCCUGAUCCAGCAAUGCCGCGUGAGUGAAGAAGGCCUUCGGGUUGUAAAGCUCUUUUGUCAGGGAAGAAACGGUCUCAGCUAAUAUCUGGGGCUAAUGACGGUACCUGAAGAAUAAGCACCGGCUAACUACGUGCCAGCAGCCGCGGUAAUACGUAGGGUGCAAGCGUUAAUCGGAAUUACUGGGCGUAAAGCGUGCGCAGGCGGUUUUGUAAGUCUGUCGUGAAAGCCCCGGGCUCAACCUGGGAAUUGCGAUGGAGACUGCAAGGCUUGAAUCUGGCAGAGGGGGGUAGAAUUCCACGUGUAGCAGUGAAAUGCGUAGAGAUGUGGGGGAACACCGAUGGCGAAGGCAGCCCCCUGGGUCAAGAUUGACGCUCAUGCACGAAAGCGUGGGGAGCAAACAGGAUUAGAUACCCUGGUAGUCG
rnacentral:rRNA from 1 species